rfam:Oryza glaberrima chromosome 4 Oglab04_0272_7, whole genome shotgun sequence.
CUCCGUCACAAACCUGGUUUUCGUGUCCAACGUUUGAUCGUCCGUCUUAUUUAAAAAAAUUAUUAAAAAAAUUAAAAAGAUAAGUCAUGUAUAAAAUAUUAAUCAUAUUUUAUCAUCUAACAACAAUAAAAAAUACGAAUUAUAAAAAAACUUCAUAUAAGACGGACAGUCAAGGUUGGACACGGAAAUCCAGGG